AGAACGAACGCUGGCGGCAUGCCUAACACAUGCAAGUCGAACGAGACCUUCGGGUCUAGUGGCGCACGGGUGCGUAACGCGUGGGAAUCUGCCCUUAGGUACGGAAUAACAGUGAGAAAUUACUGCUAAUACCGUAUGAUGUCUUCGGACCAAAGAUUUAUCGCCUAGGGAUGAGCCCGCGUUGGAUUAGCUAGUUGGUGGGGUAAAGGCCUACCAAGGCGACGAUCCAUAGCUGGUCUGAGAGGAUGAUCAGCCACACUGGGACUGAGACACGGCCCAGACUCCUACGGGAGGCAGCAGUGGGGAAUAUUGGACAAUGGGCGAAAGCCUGAUCCAGCAAUGCCGCGUGAGUGAAGAAGGCCUUAGGGUUGUAAAGUCUCUUUUACCCGGGAAGAUAAUGACUGUACCGGGAGAAGUAAGCCCGGCUAACUCCGCGCCAGCAGCCGC
rnacentral:rRNA from 1 species